rnacentral:rRNA from 1 species
AACGAACGCUGGCGGCGUGGAUUAGGCAUGCAAGUCGAACGAGAAUCUGGAGGUUCAAGUUUUCGGACAAGAACUUUCGGAGGAAAGUGGCGGAAGGGUGAGUACAACAUGGAUAAUCUACCUUCAAGUUGGGUAUAGCUUCCCGAAAGGGGAGAUAAUCCCGAAUGUGGUGAUCCGGCGCCUGUCGGAGAAUCCAAAGGUGGGGACCGCAAGGCCUGCCGCUUGAAGAUGAGUCCGUGCACUAUCAGCUAGUUGGUGAGGUAAUGGCUCACCAAGGCGAUGACGGUUAGCUGGUCUGAGAGGAUGGUCAGCCACACUGGGACUGAGAUACUGCCCAGGACUCCUACGGGAGGCUGCAGUCGAGAAUCAUUCGCAAUGGCGCAAGCCUGACGGUGCGACGUCGCGUGGAGGAUGAAGGUCUUCGGAUUGUAAACUCCUGUCAUGUGGGAUAAAUGGCCAGGGCAUGAAUAGUGCCUUGG